AGGGGGUGGCACGACCAACAAGAACUGCUAAUUCUUGUACCUGAGUUUAAAAUCUCAGCCCCCUU
rnacentral:tRNA from 1 species